CCAACUUUAAUUAAUAGAGAAAUAUUACUUAGAGAUAAUUGCUAGAGACAAUUAUUAAAGACCAAAUGAAAGUAAGUGAACAAUUGUAAAGAGUUAAUUAAAGGACACAAGUACACUUUGGUUAAUUAAGUGGGCAUAAAGGACAACUUGGUAAUUCAUGUGAAAAUGUUGUCUAUAAGAGACAAAAGAGCCGAGAGAGAGAGAAGAAAUGAAAUCACUUCCUCCUCCCCCCUUCUUCAUCAGCAACGACAAUACUCCCUCCUCCAUGAAAACCAAAAAUCAAUUAUUCUCUCAAUAAGCACUGCAUGUGUGAAAAUUAUAGUGCNNNNNNNNNNNNGAACUUGAUUUCUCCAUUCCUUCUCAUGUUGAUGGUUGAAAUUCUAAUUCCUAACCCCAAAUCAUGUUUCCAUAUUUGGAUAUGCAUGUAUUCUGUUCACAAUUAAUGGAUUUGGUGAAUGAGUUAAGAAUCAAGGGAACUAGAAGAAUUGGAAGAAUUUGGGUUAAACCCGUAUUCUGUGAGAACCAUUUGUGUUCUGGGACUGCUGCAAAUACUCAAACAAGAAGAUGAUGAUGAAGAACAUGAUGAACGUAUUGCACAAAUUCCAAAGCGUGUUUAUCACACUAAACUUUAGGUUCGAUUCGCCCCCACCAUAAACUGGAUGUAAAAGGGUUAACCGGCGAAUCCCUUUCAGGAUACUUUGGAAACCUUGACAUGCAUUGCACAUACACAUCAAGCAUAUCGAUCAACGACAUUUUACGGAAUAAAGUUUCUUCAAUGACCCUUGUGCACUAGAGAAAUGAAGAAAUGAUUUAGAAAUAAUUUUGACAGAAUUGACUCAUGAAAUUCAUGAUUUCUGUUAUGUAUUUUUUGUCUCCUAAGUGUCUCUAUUUAUAGAGAAAUUUAUGUCAAAUGACGAAGGGACA
rnacentral:lncRNA from 1 species